CGUAUCACCCAAGACAACUUUACGGAGUUGACGAUUGACGGAGCGAAGCGACGUCAAAGCGUUCAUUAAAGUCGAGUUGGCUUAGGGAUACGUUCGUUGGGUAGGGGAGCGUUCUGUAAGCCUGUGAAGGUGUGUCGUGAGGCAUGCUGGAGGUAUCAGAAGUGCGAAUGCUGACAUAAGUAACGAUAAAGCGGGUGAAAAGCCCGCUCGCCGGAAGACCAAGGGUUCCUGUCCAACGUUAAUCGGGGCAGGGUGAGUCGACCCCUAAGGCGAGGCCGAAAGGCGUAGUCGAUGGGAAACGGGUUAAUAUUCCCGUACUUGGUGUUACUGCGAAGGGGGGACGGAGAAGGCUAUGUUGGCCGGGCGACGGUUGUCCCGGUUUAAGCGUGUAGGUGUGUGUUCCAGGUAAAUCCGGUUCACUUUAACACUGAGGCGUGACGACGAGGCACUACGGUGCUGAAGCAACAAAUGCCCUGCUUCCAGGAAAAGCCUCUAAGCAUCAGGUAACACGAAAUCGUACCCCAAACCGACACAGGUGGUCAGGUAGAGAAUACCAAGGCGCUUGAGAGAACUCGGGUGAAGGAACUAGGCAAAAUGGUGCCGUAACUUCGGGAGAAGGCACGCUGACACGUAGGUGAAGUGAUUUACUCAUGGAGCUGAAGUCAGUCGAAGAUACCAGCUGGCUGCAACUGUUUAUUAAAAACACAGCACUGUGCAAACACGAAAGUGGACGUAUACGGUGUGACGCCUGCCCGGUGCCGGAAGGUUAAUUGAUGGGGUCAGCGCAAGCGAAGCUCCUGAUCGAAGCCCCGGUAAACGGCGGCCGUAACUAUAACGGUCCUAAGGUAGCGAAAUUCCUUGUCGGGUAAGUUCCGACCUGCACGAAUGGCGUAAUGAUGGCCAGGCUGUCUCCACCCGAGACUCAGUGAAAUUGAACUCGCUGUGAAGAUGCAGUGUACCCGCGGCAAGACGGAAAGACCCCGUGAACCUUUACUAUAGCUUGACACUGAACAUUGAGCCUUGAUGUGUAGGAUAGGUGGGAGGCUUUGAAGUGUGGACGCCAGUCUGCAUGGAGCCGACCUUGAAAUACCACCCUUUAAUGUUUGAUGUUCUAACGUGGACCCGUAAUCCGGGUUGCGGACAGUGUCUGGUGGGUAGUUUGACUGGGGCGGUCUCCUCCUAAAGAGUAACGGAGGAGCACGAAGGUUGGCUAAUCCUGGUCGGACAUCAGGAGGUUAGUGCAAUGGCAUAAGCCAGCUUGACUGCGAGCGUGACGGCGCGAGCAGGUGCGAAAGCAGGUCAUAGUGAUCCGGUGGUUCUGAAUGGAAGGGCCAUCGCUCAACGGAUAAAAGGUACUCCGGGGAUAACAGGCUGAUACCGCCCAAGAGUUCAUAUCGACGGCGGUGUUUGGCACCUCGAUGUCGGCUCAUCACAUCCUGGGGCUGAAGUAGGUCCCAAGGGUAUGGCUGUUCGCCAUUUAAAGUGGUACGCGAGCUGGGUUUAGAACGUCGUGAGACAGUUCGGUCCCUAUCUGCCGUGGGCGCUGGAGAACUGAGGGGGGCUGCUCCUAGUACGAGAGGACCGGAGUGGACGCAUCACUGGUGUUCGGGUUGUCAUGCCAAUGGCACUGCCCGGUAGCUAAAUGCGGAAGAGAUAAGUGCUGAAAGCAUCUAAGCACGAAACUUGCCCCGAGAUGAGUUCUCCCUGAGACUUAGAGUCUCCUGAAGGAACGUUGAAGACGACGACGUUGAUAGGCCGGGUGUGUAAGCGCAGCGAUGCGUUGAGCUAACCGGUACUAAUGAACCGUGAGGCUUAACCUUACA
rnacentral:rRNA from 2 species